GGGGGGGGGGUGGGGGUGGUCCCAGCCUGUGUCUCUGGGAGCACGUUUCUAACAGUCGCCCCACCAAGGAAAUGCACUGCUGAUCCCGGACAUACCCAGCCAGGUAACAAUACUAGCAAAAUCUUUUACUGCCUGGUCCGGGCUGGGGAGUAGUUAUAGCUUGUGGAAUAGUACUCGCUCUUAAAAAAAAAAAUACUACGCAAGGGAGAGAGAGGGAGGGAGAGAAGCAAGAGGUUGGAUCCUUCGCUUGCAUCCAAACGUGGGUGAGAGAAACCCGAGUCGACCUGAUGGGUAGGUGCCCCUGUGUGUGCGUGUGUUGCUUCUGCCUGUGAUACCUUGGCUCUGUGUCAGAGAAUGGUGACGGCCCCCCCCUCCAUGUGGACAGAUGGUACAUGACAGUAUCCACCCCCCACCCCUAAAGUUCCUUUAGGUCAGAAAGGCUCUUGCCUGGCUUUGCUUACAUAGCAUGUCUAGUAGAGAGAAGCUAGCUAGGGCCAUGUUGUAAAAUGGCCCAUACUUAGGAUGGAGAAGGAAUUAUGCUUUUGCAGUCACCCUAACCUGCCCCUGUUGAAGGGGGCAGUGGAGUCCUCUUUAUGGGAGCCAUACUCUCUCCGAGGGGGGGUGGGUCUCUCAGUAUGUGAUGUACAUCUAUGCAGCCCAAGGAUGUAAAUUCUGUGCUUUGCAUCAGAUAAAGAGAGGAGAGUCCAAGUGGUCUUGUCCUUAGAGGCAGGAAUGGAAGUGGGUCUCUUAGGGAUGGACUGACAGGGUUGGGAUUGCCAGGCCUGGUUCCUUGGCUUGAGGACUACCUUGUGAGACAGUGAAAAGAGGAAAUGCAGCUUAACUUGGAAGAAGCUAGCAGAAACUAUGAAAGGUUUUAACUCUUGAGUUCUUCUUGAAUUGCCAGUUUUCAGCCUCCUCAUGCCUCCAUCUCCUUUAGACGACAGGGUAGUAGUGGCAUUGUCUAGGCCUGUCCGACCUCAGGAUCUCAACCUCUGUUUAGACUCUAGCUACCUUGACUCUGCCACCCCAGGCAGUAGGAAGCACCCUCCUGUCAUUGCCACCACUGUUGUGACCCUCAAGGCUGCGAAUCUGACGUAUAUGCCCUCAUCCAGCGGCUCUGCCCGCUCUCUGAAUUGUGGAUGCAGCAGUGCCAGCUGCUGCACUGUGGCAACCUACGACAAGGACAAUCAGGCCCAGACCCAAGCCAUUGCUGCUGGCACUGCCACCACCACCAUCGGAACCUCUACCACCUGUCCUGCUAACCAGAUGGUCAACAACAAUGAGAAUACAGGCUCUUUAAGUCCAUCAGGUGGGGUGGGCAGUCCUGUGUCAGGAACCCCCAAGCAGCUAGCCAGCAUCAAAAUCAUAUACCCCAAUGACUUGGCGAAGAAGAUGACCAAAUGCAGUAAGAGUCACGUGCCCAGCCAGGGCCCCGUCAUCAUUGACUGCCGGCCCUUCAUGGAGUACAACAAGAGUCACAUCCAAGGAGCUGUCCACAUUAACUGUGCCGAUAAGAUUAGCCGGCGGAGACUACAGCAGGGCAAGAUCACUGUCCUAGACUUGAUUUCCUGUAGGGAAGGCAAAGACUCCUUCAAGAGGAUCUUUUCCAAAGAAAUUAUAGUUUAUGAUGAGAAUACCAAUGAGCCAAGCCGAGUGAUGCCCUCUCAGCCUCUUCACAUAGUCCUCGAGUCACUGAAGAGAGAAGGCAAAGAACCUCUGGUAUUAAAAGGUGGACUCAGUAGUUUUAAGCAGAACCAUGAAAACCUCUGUGACAACUCCCUCCAGCUGCAAGAGUGCCGCGAGGUGGGAGGCGGAGCAUCUGCCAUCUCGAGCAUGCUACCUCAGUCUGUCCCCACCACCCCUGACAUCGAGAAUGCGGAGCUGACUCCCAUCCUGCCCUUCCUGUUCCUGGGCAACGAGCAGGAUGCUCAGGACCUGGACACCAUGCAACGGUUGAACAUUGGCUACAUCAUCAACGUCACCACGCACCUUCCCCUGUACCACUAUGAGAAAGGCCUGUUCAACUACAAGAGGCUGCCGGCCACAGACAGCAACAAGCAGAACCUGCGGCAGUACUUCGAAGAGGCUUUUGAGUUCAUUGAGGAGGCUCACCAGUGUGGGAAGGGACUUCUCAUCCACUGCCAGGCUGGCGUGUCUCGCUCUGCCACCAUUGUCAUCGCCUAUUUGAUGAAACACACUCGAAUGACCAUGACUGAUGCUUACAAAUUUGUCAAGGGCAAACGACCAAUUAUUUCCCCCAAUCUUAACUUUAUGGGGCAGUUGCUGGAGUUCGAGGAGGACCUAAACAAUGGUGUAACACCGAGGAUCCUUACACCAAAGCUGAUGGGGAUGGAGACUGUCGUGUGACCAUGAUUCGUGUGGAAAGGAUUGCUUCUAGGAGACGAACUGAAGGGAAGAUUGAGUCUGCUUUUUUUUUUCUUGUUCUAUUUUCCUUUUUUUUUAGUUGGGGGAUAAAGUUUGUGAAUAGUAACAAACUUGUUUAAAGGCUUUUUAUUUUUAACAAGUGUGAGAAGACUAUAUACCUUUUGAUGCCAUUGAGAUUCACUCCCUGUAAACUGAUAAAAAGCAGGGAGACUGAAGAGCUCACUUUUCUAAGCCAACAAUAAAAAUGUAAUCAAACUUGUUUCUCCCCAUUUUCCUUCUAAGCUAUUUGUAGAGUUUAUGACUAUAUAGUCUGUGCAGGUUCAUAGACGGACGAUAUCAUCCUUUAAACAAGUAGAAAGAACCAAAAGUAAUAGAAGGCCUGGGACAUGCCUGGACCAUCCAUACAGAGAACAAAAUCUCCUAGACCAAGCCCUGUUGUGCUCAUGGAUGCAAGCAGAAGAUCAGGGCGGUGUAAGUGGUCUAAGUAUACAUUUCUCAGAAGACAGAGGCUACUCUUGAUUUGAUGUGUUUUCUGGAUUUUCUUUUCCCUCUAUGUUUAAGAGGUGUUGGUUUUUGUUUUUGUUUUUUGGUAAUAGCAAGGAAUUGACCAUUAUAUAUCAUAUGCCUUCAUUGGCUCUUUGUGCAAUAAUAUGGUGUUUGGAGUGUGCAGAUAAGUUAGAGCUGGCAACUCAGUGAUAGAAAAAGAGUUCAAGUUUGCCAGCUUGGAGAGAGAGAGGAAUUCAAUAAUAUCAAUUACUUUCCUUCCCACCUUUUUCCUUUUUUGAUUUGAUUCUAGUUACAGUGCCAUAAACCUUGUUACAUAUGUAUAUCAGAAUGUAAAAAAAAAGACAAAAAUUUAUUUAAAAAUAUUUUUCGCAAAGAAAAAAAAACAAACCUUGAUGUGUUUCUGUUGAUUGUGUAAAAAUUUAUUUUCAUUAUAUAAAC